UGGUAAUGCCGGAUGCUCCAGUUGAUCGCAUGGUCUUCUGGGAAAGCCUUUGCGGCAUGGGAUGGGGUCGCGUCCUAUCAGCUUGAUGGCGGGGUAACGGCCCACCAUGGCUUCGACGGGUAGCCGGCCUGAGAGGGCGACCGGCCACAUUGGGACUGAGAUACGGCCCAGACUCCUACGGGAGGCAGCAGUGGGGAAUAUUGCACAAUGGGCGCAAGCCUGAUGCAGCGACGCCGCGUGAGGGAUGGAGGCCUUCGGGUUGUAAACCUCUUUUGUUAGGGAGCAAGGCAUUUUGUGUUGAGUGUACCUUUCGAAUAAGCACCGGCUAACUACGUGCCAGCAGCCGCGGUAAUACGUAGGGUGCAAGCGUUAUCCGGAAUUAUUGGGCGUAAAGGGCUCGUAGGCGGUUCGUCGCGUCCGGUGUGAAAGUCCAUCGCUUAACGGUGGAUCCGCGCCGGGUACGGGCGGGCUUGAGUGCGGUAGGGGAGACUGGAAUUCCCGGUGUAACGGUGGAAUGUGUAGAUAUCGGAAAGAAACACCA
rnacentral:rRNA from 1 species